ACGGGUGAGUAACGCGUGGGAAUCUACCCAUCUCUACGGAACAACUCCGGGAAACUGGAGCUAAUACCGUAUACGUCCUUCGGGAGAAAGAUUUAUCGGAGAUGGAUGAGCCCGCGUUGGAUUAGCUAGUUGGUGGGGUAAUGGCCUACCAAGGCGACGAUCCAUAGCUGGUCUGAGAGGAUGAUCAGCCACACUGGGACUGAGACACGGCCCAGACUCCUACGGGAGGCAGCAGUGGGGAAUAUUGGACAAUGGGCGAAAGCCUGAUCCAGCCAUGCCGCGUGAGUGAUGAAGGCCCUAGGGUUGUAAAGCUCUUUCAACGGUGAAGAUAAUGACGGUAACCGUAGAAGAAGCCCCGGCUAACUUCGUGCCAGCAGCCGCGGUAAUACGAAGGGGGCUAGCGUUGUUCGGAAUUACUGGGCGUGAAGCGCACGUAGGCGGAUUGUUAAGUUAGGGGUGAAAUCCCAGGGCUCAACCCUGGAACUGCCUUUAAUACUGGCAAUCUCGAGUCCGAGAGAGGUGAGUGGAAUUCCGAGUGUAGAGGUGAAAUUCGUAGA
rnacentral:rRNA from 1 species